ensembl:miRNA
CAAAAAGUUCAUUCAGAUUUUUCCAUAAAAUGUACUGGAAAACCUGAAUGAACUUUUUGU